GCGAGCGUGGCGGAACUGGCAGACGCGCAGGGUUUAGGUCCCUGUGUCCCUUGGGACGUGGAGGUUCGACUCCUCUCGCUCGCA
rnacentral:tRNA from 1 species